AGGACGAACGCUGGCGGCGUGCUUAACACAUGCAAGUCGAGCGGAAAGGCCCUUCGGGGUACUCGAGCGGCGAACGGGUGAGUAACACGUGAGCAACCUGCCCUUAGCUUCGGGAUAGCUCCGGGAAACCGGAAUUAAUACCGAAUAUGACUUUGGCUGACAUCAGCAGAAGUGGAAAGUUUUCGGCUAGGGAUGGACUCGCGGCCUAUCAGCUAGUUGGUGAGGUAACGGCCCACCAAGGCGACGACGGGUAGCCGGCCUGAGAGGGCGCGACGGACGACGACUGGAACUGAAACACGGUCCAGACUCCUACGGGAGGCAGCAGUGGGGAAUUUUGCGCAAUGGGGGAAACCCUGACGCAGCAACGCCGCGUGGAGGAUGAAAUCCCUUGGGAUGUAAACUCCUUUCGAUAGGGAAGAUAAUGACGGUACCUAUAGAAGAAGCCCCGGCUAACUUCGUGCCAGCAGCCGC
rnacentral:rRNA from 1 species